GAUGAACGCUGGCGGCGUGCCUAAUACAUGCAAGUCGAGCGAACAGACGAGGAGCUUGCUCCUCUGACGUUAGCGGCGGACGGGUGAGUAACACGUGGAUAACCUACCUAUAAUACUGGGAUAACUUCGGGAAACCGGAUCUAAUACCGGAUAAUAUAUUGAACCGCAUGGUUCAAUAGUGAAAGACGGUUUUGCUGUCACUUAUAGAUGGAUCCGCGCCGCAUUAGCUAGUUGGUAAGGUAACGGCUUACCAAGGCAACGAUGCGUAGCCGACCUGAGAGGGUGAUCGGCCACACUGGAACUGAGACACGGUCCAGACUCCUACGGGAGGCAGCAGUAGGGAAUCUUCCGCAAUGGGCGAAAGCCUGACGGAGCAACGCCGCGUGAGUGAUGAAGGUCUUCGGAUCGUAAAACUCUGUUAUUAGGGAAGAACAAAUGUGUAAGUAACUAUGCACGUCUUGACGGUACCUAAUCAGAAAGCCACGGCUAACUACGUG
rnacentral:rRNA from 1 species